UAGCCGUAAACGAUACUCGCUAGGUGUCGGCCACGGUGCGACCGUUGUCGGUGCCGUAGGGAAGCCGUGAAGCGAGCCACCUGGGAAGUACGGUCGCAAGGCUGAAACUUAAAGGAAUUGGCGGGGGAGCACCACAACGGGUGGAGCUUGCGGUUUAAUUGGAUUCAACGCCGGAAAUCUUACCGGGACCGACAGCAACAUGAAGGCCAGGCUGAAGACUUUGCCGGAUUAGCUGAGAGGUGGUGCAUGGCGUAGUCGUGU
rnacentral:rRNA from 1 species